GACGAGGGGUCCAAGCGUUGUUCGGAAUCAUUGGGCGUAAAGCGGGUGUAGGCGGCUCUAUAAGUCAGAAGUGAAAGCCCCGAGCUUAACUUGGGAAGUGCUUUUGAUACUGCAGAGCUUGAAUGUGGGAGAGGGUAGUGGAAUUCCAGGUGUAGUGGUGAAAUACGUAGAUAUCUGGAGGAACACCGGUGGCGAAGGCGGCUACCUGGCC
rnacentral:rRNA from 1 species